CCUACGGGGGGCAGCAGUGGGGGAUAUUGCACAAUGGGCGAAAGCCUGAUGCAGCGACGCCGCGUGAGGGAAGACGGUCUUCGGAUUGUAAACCUCUGUCUUUGGGGAAGAAUAGAGACGGUACCCAAAGAGGAAGCUCCGGCUAACUACGUGCCAGCAGCCGCGGUAAUACGUAGGGAGCGAGCGUUGUCCGGAAUUACUGGGUGUAAAGGGAGCGUAGGCGGGCUUGUAAGUUGAAUGUCUAAUCCACCGGCUCAACCGGUGAUCGCGUUCAAAACUGCAGGUCUUGAGUGAAGUAGAGGCAG
rnacentral:rRNA from 1 species